GUUUUAGUAUAAGUAUGUCCCAUUGCAACAUUUGGGAUAUACUUUUACUAAAA
rnacentral:pre_miRNA from 1 species